rnacentral:tRNA from 1 species
AGAAGGUUAGUCUUUAUGUUUAAGAUACAGGGUUGUCAACCCUGAGAGGUUAAUUUAUUUAACACUUUCUA